CUUCUUUUUUCCUUUUUUCUUUCCUUCUUCUCCCUUCUCCUUCGUUAUUUCUUCUUCUUCGUCCCCAAAAUCCAACAGAGAAACUCCAGAGAAAUGCCACCUCCACCUCGCCACAACCAGAUCUAAUUCGUCUUUCAAAUUAAAUCUAUUCAAUUCGUGUCAAACUUGAAUAACCUAAAUCAUCAUUAACAGUAGCUGUUCUUGAAGAAGAAUUCUGAAAAGAAAGGAAAAGUUUGAACAUAAUCAAUAUCAGUAAACCAAUCUGCAGAUUAAAUCAUCGAGAGAGAUUCGAAAGAUGUAGAUUCAAAAGAUUUUUUCAGAGUUAUGAUAUCCAAAAGAUUUAAUCCGAGAAAAUGAGAUGUUAUAGCUGGCCAAGGAUCGAUUGUGGUUGUCUCAGAAGAUGAUUUGGUAACAAAACGGAGAGGAAAUGAGUUGGCUGUGAAGUUUUUGUCAUGAGAUUUGAUUGAGAACCAGAUCAAGAACAUAUCAGUUUUAAUCGAGAAUUACAAGGGUUUGUUGUUGAUUGGUUAGAUUACAAGGAUCGAUUGUGGUUGUCUCAGAAGAUAAUUUGGUAACAAAACGGAGAGAAAAUGAGUUGGCUGUGAAUUUUUUGUCAUGAGAUUUGAUUGAGAACCAUAUCAAGAACAUAUCAGUUUGAAUCGAGAAUUACAAGGGUUUGUUGUUGAUUGGUUAGAUUUCAGAUGGGUUUAUUUGGAUUUGAGUUUCCAGAAAGUUCAAGUUCAAGGUGGACUGAUUUUGUGGCCGAAGUUGAGAUGAAAUUAAGGUCUCACAAAAGAGAUCAUGUAGCAGAUAGAAGAUAUCAGUUUGAGCAGAGUUUCAAUCAAAUAGCUGCAGCAAAGAAUGGGUUGGUGUUGCCAGUGGUCUGUCAAAACAAGAAUCAUGGUUGGAGAGCUGUAUGUGUUUAUUUCAUGUGAGCUGUGAUGAACUGACCAAUUGAACUGUUGGUGUUGUGACAUGAGUCUGAGAUGGGGAUGGAAGAAGGAAUUGAAGCAAAUAUGGAAACAUAAAUUGAAAGUUUGAGCUGGUAAUUGAGAUGAAUUUCAAGGGAUUGAGAUUCGAGAAGAAGGGUCUUGACAGAUUUCUUGUAGAGUGGGGUUGAAUUAGUUAUGAAUUUGGUAAUGAAGGUGGUGGCAGUGACUGGUUAAAUCUGGUGGAUUUGUGAUGAUGAUUUUCAAGGGUUUCGAAAGAUUUUUGUGCUGAGUUGGUUGUAGAGCUGCAGAUGAAGAACAAAUGGGUUCCAGUGAUUUUGAGAUGGGAAUGAGUUUGUUUGUAUUGAGAAGAUGGCCUUGAUUUCGUAGUAUUUGGUACUGAGAUCAUAAUGGAAGAAAGAGUGGCAUGGCUGCAGCUGCAAUUGGAGAUGUGAAGCAGUUGGUGGCUAAGGAAAUCAAGAAGAUUGUGAUGCUGAGAAGUUGCAUGGAGUAAGAGAGGAAAGGUAUUACAUAUGGCUAGGUCAAGAAGUUUUGUGUGUUGAGGUGCAGUGGUAGAGUUGAUUGCAGAUGAGUAAAUGGAUAAAGCUGUAAGCUGCAAUAUGCAGUGAUUAGUAUUGGUUGUCUAGGAGAAGCUGGUGAUUACAAUAAAGAACCACAAGGUGCUGCUAAUGAUUAAAUGGGAGCAGAUGAAGCAAUAGAAUGAAUUUAUAGAUGUAUGCUAGGAUUGCAGUGAAGGAGCAGAAGUAAAUGGCAUGCAAUUAUAGCCAAAACAGCCAGUAACAUGGGAACUCUGCCGGAUUUCUAUAUCGGCGAGUUAACUCAGUGAUUCAAGUGAGCUGACCAAAUAACGGCACUGUCGGUAUGACCGUCAAAAAUGACGGCGACUCGGAAAGACCGUUAGUUUGUGGAAAAUGAAAAAAAAACAAAAACCAAAAACCGGGUCAUAACUUACAGUGAAGGAGCAAUCACAUAGUGGUGUCAUUUCGUCAAGUUCUUCGGUCGGCUCUCUCACCGUGGCAACAGUUGUACUAGUCUACAAAUUUGAUCCAUGGGGCAGAUUUAAGAUUCUACAACCAUUUUUGUGGCACUGGAAUUUUUUUAGGUCGGGUGGAAAUUCUUUGGUGAUGAGACAAGUUUUAGGUCAUGGGUGGGCAUUGAUGUAGGUGAAAAUUCUUUGGUGAUGAGACAAGUUUUAGGUCAUGGGUAGGCAUUGAUGUAGAAGCAAUCGAAAUAGAGUUUGGGUUCUUAAGAAAAUUUGAAUCAUGGUGUUGAUGGUGGAUUUUGGUUCAAAGGCUAAAAUUGUAAAGCCAAAUUUAUGCACUGACAUCCUGCAGAGGAUAAAGUUGUUUGAUAAGUGAUGAGUACCUCUUCGCUUUAAUUAAU